CAAAAGGGGUUGCUGUACCUGAUAAGCUGGCAAUGUGUCAGCCUGCAGGUGUCUAUUUGCAUGAGCUUAUUUGCAGGGUGCUGCCUGUGAGGCUGGACUAUGCCUGCUGCCUGACCCUGCUUGUCACCCAGAUACGAUCCCGUCAAGUGAGGAGAGACUCCAUGGACAGAGGUGAAGGAACUGUUUUCCAAAGGAUUCUGACAGCUUGUGGGUACAAGCUGUGCUGCUUUGGGGCCCAGAUGACAGAAUCGGAGAUGUACUGACUCAGCUCAGAAAUGACAAGGUGAUAAGGUGUGGAUAUUUGCCUCCUCUGAACUCCAUGUUGAAAUGUGACUGCCAGUGUUGGAUCUGGAGCCUGAUGGGAGGUGUUUGGGUCAAGGGGGCGGAUCCCUUGUGAAUGGCUUGGUGCCCACCUCAUGGUAAUGAGAGAGUUCUUGCUCUGUUAGCUCAUGUGAGAGCUUGUUGUUGAACAGACCCUGGCUCCACCUCCUUCCUCUUGCUCCCUCUCCCACCAUGUGACAUAUCUGUUUCCCCCUUUGCCUUCCACCAAUUGGAAGCUUCCUGCGCCCCCACAAGAAGCCAAGCAGAUGCCAGCACCAUGAUCCUUGCACAGCCUGCAGAACCAUGAGCCACAUAAACCUCUUUUUAAAAACAAAUUAUCCAGCCUCAAGUAUUCCCUUCUAGCAACACAAAAUAGACUGAGAUACACAGGAAUGCAACGGAAAAUGAGAUUCCGAAGGGAAAUUGAAAUUUUAUUCAAGAGAAUGAAUAAGUCAGCCCAGCACUCCCACAGCCCAGGCAGACAGGCUCUCAGUGCACUAGAAUCCAAUCUACACACAGUGGGUGACGCCGUGUUGUGACGGGCGACCAACUUCUGCCUGAAAAGUGAGUCACUCCGUGCAACAAAGCAACAUUAGACCUGACGGACGGGACUAUUAUUUUAGGACCCUCUUGGACCUGCUCUAACUUUUUGGAGGAUCCACUUCACAUGACAGCAAACAUGUGAAAACUCAGCCCCUUCCAUAUUACAGCUAACCUGUUUUGCUUUUCAAUAAUUUUGCUUUUGGAAUUAUUUAGCCAUAAAAAUAUUUAAUGUAUAACUGACCAUGAUUUCUUAGCAGUUUUGUAUAUUCGGGAACUUUUUGUGAAUUGAAAUCUAGACUGAGUGUGGUGGCUCUGCCUCUAGUCCCAACACUUCGGGAGGCCGAGGCAGGUGGAUCGCCUGAGGUCAGGAGUUCAAGACCAGCCUGGCCAAUAUGGUGA
rnacentral:lncRNA from 13 species